rnacentral:lncRNA from 1 species
UUUGAGAAAAAUAAAUAAUCGUGCCCUUGGGUGUUUCCCUUCUAGUUGGUAGUGGUUGUUGUCUCUCACUAAGUCCUCGUGACUUACUCUUUUAUUUUCUAUUAUUUUUUUCUUCAGAUUCCUAAGCAGCUAAGUAGAAAGCUGCUAGCAGAUUCAAAGUUUUCGCAGUGUCACCUUUGGUAGGCCCUCUUGGUUGGCUUCUCUUUGUAUAUUUAUAUUUCAGUGUCCAUUGAUGUAUCUGCAGCUAUUUGGUAGUCUAGGAUGUGUUAUUCUGAGUUGUACAAGUAUGAGAAAAAUGUUAUUUGAGAUACUGGAUGAUGAAACAGGUUUUUAAAACAGGAUUGAUUCUUGGAAAUGUUGAAUUUACAGGGGAAACUCUGUCGAAGUUUCAGUAAAUAUUUUUAUUGAAGUGAAAACCGAAUUGGAAUUGUUUUUAUUUUAUAGUUUGUCAAGUUGAAUCAAUAGGCUUG